rnacentral:rRNA from 1 species
CAUCGAGUUUUUGAACGCAAGUUGCGCCCGAAGCUUCCGGCUGAGGGCACGUCCGCCUGGGCGUCACGC